AGCCGCAUAGUUUUGAUAGUCCACUAAACAUUGUAACUGACUUUGAAAAGUAUUUGGUUGAAAUUGGACUUGGGCAGCAAAAAAACGAAUUGGAUAAAUACAUCAAUGAAGAGCUUGAUACUCAGAAUGGUGGUGGUGAAUUUGAUAUUCUCCGUUGGUGGAAAGAAAAUGCUCAUAGAUUUCCCAUUCUUUCAUGCAUGGCUCGUGAUGUAUUGGCAGUUCCUAUAUCAACUGUCGCAUCUGAAUCUGCAUUUAGCACCGGUGGACGUGUGCUUGAUACUUAUAGGAGUUCAUUAACUCCUAAAAUUGUACAAGCUCUUGUGUGCACUCAAGAUUGGUUACGAGAAGAAAAUGUCAUUUCAAUGACUGAUUUAGUUGAGCAUGAUGUUUGAGAGAUGUAUAAACUUGACGUGGAUAUGUCAAAGAUGAGGUUGGAUCCUGUGAUUGAUUAGAAAAACAAGAUGCAAUAAGAAUAUAAUUGAC